rnacentral:rRNA from 1 species
UACGGGGGGGGCAAGCGUUGUUCGGAAUUACUGGGCGUAAAGGGCUCGUAGGUGGCCAACUAAGUCAGACGUGAAAUCCCUCGGCUUAACCGGGGAACUGCGUCUGAUACUGGAUGGCUUGAGUUUGGGAGAGGGACGCGGAAUUCCAGGUGUAGCGGUGAAAUGCGUAGAUAUCUGGAGGAACACCGGUGGCGAAGGCGGCGUCCUGGACCAACACUGACACUGAUGAGCGAAAGCGUGGGGAGCGAACAGG